AGUGAACGCUGGCGGUAGGCCUAACACAUGCAAGUCGAACGGCAGCACAGUAAGAGCUUGCUCUUACGGGUGGCGAGUGGCGGACGGGUGAGGAAUACAUCGGAAUCUACUUUUUCGUGGGGGAUAACGUAGGGAAACUUACGCUAAUACCGCAUACGACCUACGGGUGAAAGCAGGGGAUCUUCGGACCUUGCGCGAUUGAAGGAGCCGAUGUCGGAUUAGCUAGUUGGCGGGGUAAAGGCCCACCAAGGCGACGAUCCGUAGCUGGUCUGAGAGGAUGAUCAGACACACUGGAACUGAGACACGGUCCAGACUCCUACGGGAGGCAGCAGUGGGGAAUAUUGGACAAUGGGCGCAAGCCUGAUCCAGCCAUACCGCGUGGGUGAAGAAGGCCUUCGGGUUGUAAAGCCCUUUUGUUGGGAAAGAAAAGCAGCAAGUUAAUACCCCGCUGUUCUGACGGUACCCAAAGAAUAAGCACCGGCUAACUUCGUG
rnacentral:rRNA from 1 species